rnacentral:rRNA from 1 species
CAAUAGCGUAUAUUUAAGUUGUUGCAGUUAAAAAGCUCGUAGUUGGAUUUCGGAUGGGACUUGCCGGUCCGUCGUUUCGAUGUGCACUGGCCAGUCCUAUCUUGUUGUCGGGGACUAGCUCCUGGGCUUCACUGUCCGGGACUAGGAGUUGACGAGGUUACUUUGAGUAAAUUAGAGUGUUCAAAGCAAGCCUACGCUCUGAAUACAUUAGCAUGGAAUAACACGAUAGGACUCUGGCUUAUCUUGUUGGUCUGUGAGACCAGAGUAAUGAUUAAGAGGGACAGUCGGGGGCAUUCGUAUUUCAUUGUCAGAGGUGAAAUUCUUGGAUUUAUGAAAGACGAACUUCUGCGAAAGCAUUUGUCAAGGAUGUUUUCAUUAA